UAAGAGCUCUCCUAGAGGACUGUGAAGAGGUUUCCAGUUUCCACAUGCUUAACAUUCAUCCUGAAAGCAGUAAUAACAUUUUGCCAGAAAUCGUCAGCUGCAGGGAUACACACCACAGAGGGGUCUUACUCCAAAACCUGCUGAUCAAUCAGACUCCCAACACAAAUGCUGCUCCCAGCUCACUACCACGGACACCACCAAAGAUGUCCAGGUCUGGAGAGAAGCAGGCAGGGAUACAUUGCCUCCACCCUGUGCAGUAGGACACAGGGAGCUGAGGAAGCACCAUGCAGCUCCAAACCAGAGAAAGAAAUGGGAACUUCCAGAAUAUAGGAAGCAACCAUCAUACUAUUCUACAUAUGAAAAGAAGCCUCACAUCAUUGGGGCUGAAACUCUGUAUGUGGUUUUCAAGCCAGUUAUAGAGCAUUCCUU